AUGACAAUCUGUCCCAGGAGACAGCAACAUCCUUCUGGCACGAAAGCAAGUACUGCUCUGAGCUCCAGCAACACCCACUGUGAACUGGUGUCUGAUAAGAGAGGAGUUUUAAUGGUGUGCUGCGUGUUAACAACAGUAAUGUGGGCAAGAAAAAAAGGGGGGAACAAUGCUUGGAAACAGUGCCUUUUAUUCAGCACAAGUACUUUUGUGCAUGUGUGUGCAUGUUCAGAUAGGAUUGAGCUUUCUGAGUACUCUGCAAAAGGUGCUCAGCAGCUCACAAAAUCCUCAUUCCUGACUUUGGUUCCUCAGAAAGCCAAAGACCAAUGGAAUGAAGUAGCUUCAUCACUUGAAAGCCUAGCUCUUCUAAAUGAGUAUCACAACAAAGAAGCAGCAUUAAGUUGCCAGACAAAUAAAUUUUCUUGGGGUUUCUGCACUUCCAGAAAUACUCAGUAGACUUGUCAGACUAAUAUAUAAUUGGCCAUCGGUUGCUUACAACUGUGAUUUUACCAACAACUUGUGAUUUUGAUAAAUAAGCACCAAUCCAAAGUAAGGUGCCCUGUAAGUAGCCUGAUUUUCAUAGUCCUAAACCACAGCUCUUCUAAUAUCUCCAGCCAGCCAGCUCUGAAAGUCUAAGCUACACAUAUAAAGCAAAACUUUCCAUGCAGUAAUGAUUAUGUAUGGGAACAAUUAUGGACAAGCUUUUACUUAAUAGAGUUUAAGCUGUUGCAAAUCUUAAACCACACUAAAACCACAGAAUGAAAAUAACAGAGCAAGAAGCAUGGCAAGAUGGUCUUACAGCGUUCCUGUGCUCUCCCUGCAGCAGAAGGGAUUGUGUUUAUGGGUCUGUGUAAGUAGCAGUUUGCCAAAUUAAGUGUUUUCAAGUUCCUGCCUGUGUUGCAAAGGCUGCGGUCUUGGGAGUUCAACUGUUUUACAAUGGCAAGCAGCUAAAUAAAGAACUCAAAGCUACUUCCGCAGUAGUUCUGGAACACUGGGGAACAACUAUGAUUCAGGGUUCUGGAAUGCUAUUCCAAGCCUCUGUACCCCACUUCCCGUACUACUUCUUUCCUUUAUAUAUAUAUUUAUAUCCUAUCCAUUUCUUGAUCUAAUUUUACCAGUAACUGAUAAAAUCAUGAGCAUUCAUACAGAGAGACGUUCAACUGCAUUCGCAACACAAUUCCAAAACUGGUCUUGCUUCCCAUAGUAAGAACAGGUGCACCAGGAAAAGACAAUUCCUGGACCAUCACCUUGAGAAAAACCUUUUUGGGCAUCAUUUGACAAAGGUGAGAAUUUCCCCAGGCAGAUCUGCCUUACACACACUUUGGUAACAGUCACUCCUGCUGCAAGGAUAAGAUAAGAAAAGGCACCUUUUGCUUUUUUUUCCCAAGGGAAACAGAGGGGCUGAUGGCACAUUUUCAUGUAUGUUUUGCUCCUAGUAGCAUUUAAUUUCCAACUCAGAUAUUAAUGGAAAUAUUUAAUGUGGUUACAGCCUUAAUAACGUAUGUUUAUAAAUACAAGUACUCCCUACAGUGUCUGUCAUCCAAAUUAUGCAUAAAUGGAAUAGCACCCUGACUUGGUGGAGUAAUAUAAACAAAAUUAGAAACAAAACCAGUAAAAGCCACACUGUGCACUUACAAAACAAACAGUAGAAAAUGGUAAGAGAGAUCGGAUAGAAAGAUUCUAUGCAACCAAGAGUAUCACUAGCAACAAGAAAUGUGUUGUUUUGCUCUUUAGUAGCUUCACAGCAUUCCUGGGAACCAUUCUGCAAUGACUCAUGUACUCAAAAAACCCACAUGGCCUUUCUGGGAUUGGAUCUCACUACACAUUUUGGCCCUUUCAACUUUCCCAGAGGUUUAGAGCAGCUUGUACAGGUCACUGGCUGCUUCCCAGCCCCAGGACACUGGGCCAGGUUUGGCAGGUUUCAAAAAGCAGCCUGUUGCCAUAGGAGCAGAGAGCCAUGCCAAGGGACAGAGUGCCACUGAGACCACUGACACGCUGCUCAGCACCACUGCCUUUGUUCAGAUGAAGUGGAUCCAGCUCUCCUCACAUUCCCUCGGCAGCUUCAGGGGGUGAGUCCGGCAGCUGAGGGUGUAGUUCUUGCCUCUGUUGUUAUCCCAGUACUCCUGGCCAUUGACUUGGUACCUUGCUGCAAACUGGACCAGAGUGCUCAGCUGAAGGAGGAAAGGAGGCACGGGAAGAAAGAAAGUGAACACAUCAACCUGCUCCUGCCCGUUUUUGUCUGGGAUGCUGCAGUGCCAGCGAGCACACACCUCAUGGAUGCUUUCCCACUGGUUGAAGGUGUAGCGCACAGACACCUGCUUCUCAAAAGCCACAUUCCGAACCUGGAUGGUGCCACUGAGCCCCAGAUCUGAGCUGGUCACCCGUUCCAGACACACCUGCUGCUCCUGGAGUCGGGAUGAGAAAUCUAGACAGUCUGCAGGCUGCUGGAAGUCGGGGACCAAGCAGUGCAUAGUAAACUCCAAGUUCAAGUUGCUGUACCAGAGGUCUGAGUUUAUGGAGAGCCUGGAAAGGACAUGCAAAGGGAUGGAUGGAUCCUCCCCAGUCUGGAAGACUUUCACUUCAGUGAGCUCCAAGCCUAAAGCAUCAGCAAACCUGACCCGGUUCAUGCGGCUCUGGCAGCCGGGCUGCUGGCACUGCAGUGCUGCAAUCCUCCUCUCGGGUGAUGUGGGCAAGGACCUCGCUCGGCGGCGGAUGAUGGGCCGCAGGGCUGGGUCACAGCUCGAGGAGGUGCUGCUCGGAUGAUUAUUUGGCUGGGGACUCUCCUUGGCUGGGGCACUGCUCUGAAAAGUCUUGUUGCUACUUGUAUGGACUGCUGGGGGCUGCUGCUGCCCUCGUCCCACCGCUCCUUCAGCCUUUAACAUGUUCUCAUAGAGAUCUGAGAGGUAGCUGGGAUUCCUCCGAGGACCACGUACUUCCAUUCUUAACUGGUGACAAAAAAUCAGCGUUAACACUGCAGGUAGUAAUGUGCACUGCCGCUUUGAAGCACUGAAUUUGGGAAUGGCAGCCACAGUAAGGACUGAGGUUAUUGCACUGGAAGCAGCAAAGAUCACCUGGAACCACGUCACCUUGGAAGGAAGGGCAGAAGCCCGGCAGCUCUCACGGCAGCUGGCAGAGAGCCAGCAGGAAGGCUCUGCGGGACGCUGGAGGGACUCACUGCCCGAGGGACUCACUGCCCGACGAACUCGAGAUCGCUGUGCUGGCUGGCGGCCCCCAGGCUCAGGCUGGAAAGGGAUUCCAGGCUAUCACCGCUGAUACUGGAGGAGCUCACACCCAGGCUGGAGAGCG
rnacentral:lncRNA from 1 species